rnacentral:lncRNA from 1 species
AGCUCUUUCUAGUCGUAGUCAUCAAUUUUCAAUUGUUAUCCGUAAUCGUGCGUUAUGCCAAAAAGAGUGAUAGUAGCUCCCAAAUCAACACCUUAACUUUGAGCGCCUAUAUCUCCUUCAUAUAAACUCCAAACCAUACAAAACUUGUACCAAAACCAUAGCCAAAAACCUAAACUUAUUGACCCUAGCCUUCAAAGCUCGAAUGGCCCUAAAAGACUAACCCUAAUCUCUAAUAUGGCCUCGGGCAACCUCCUCAAAGCCUAUUGGUCAUGAUUUUUGACUAAUAGGAAUGGAGAUUUUCAUCAUCCAUCUCCA